AGAUUGAACGCUGGCGGCGUGCCUAACACAUGCAAGUCGAGCGGUAACAGGUGUAGCAAUACAUGCUGACGAGCGGCGAACGGGUGAGUAAUGCUUCGGAAUCUACCUUAUGGUGGGGAAUAACUAGCCGAAAGGUUAGCUAAUACCGCAUACGUCCUACGGGAGAAAGCAGGGGAUCGCAAGACCUUGCGCCAAAAGAUGAGCCGAAGUCGGAUUAGCUAGUUGGUAGGUAACGGCCUACCAAGGCGACGAUCCGUAGCUGGUCUGAGAGGACGACCAGCCACACUGGAACUGAGACACGGUCCAGACUCCUACGGGAGGCAGCAGUGGGGAAUAUUGGACAAUGGGGGAAACCUGAUCCAGCGACGCCGCGUGUGUGAAGAAGGCCUGCGGGUUGAAAGCACUUUAGUGGGAUGAAAUGUGCAGAGCUAAUACCUCUGUACUUUGACCUAACCCAACAGAAAAAAGACACCGGCUAACUACUGUGCCAGCAGCCGA
rnacentral:rRNA from 1 species